rnacentral:rRNA from 1 species
CCUACGGGGGGCAGCAGUGAGGAAUAUUGGUCAAUGGCCGGAAGGCUGAACCAGCCAUGCCGCGUGAAGGUCAGUGCCCUAUGGGCGUUAAACUUCUUUUGUGCGGGAGCAAUAAUGGUCACGUGUGGCCAGACGAGAGUACCGUACGAAUAAGCAUCGGCUAACUCCGUGCCAGCAGCCGCGGUAAUACGGGGGAUGCAAGCGUUAUCCGGAUUUAUUGGGUUUAAAGGGUGCGUAGGCUGGGAGGUAAGUCAGCGGUGAAAUGCCCCCGCUCAACGGGGUGAUGUGCCAUUGAUACUGCCUGGCUGGAAUGCGGAUGCCGUGGGAGGAAUGUGUGGUGUAGCGGUGAAAUGCAUAGAUAUCACACAGAACACCGAUUGCGAAGGCAUCUCACGAAUCCGCGAUUGACGCUGAUGCACGAAAGCGUGGGUAUCAAACAGGAUUAGAUACCCUUGUAGUC